UCGGGUGUGGUGUAUGGGGCACGACUGCUCUCCUUGAAGGUAUUGUCAAAUUAGGAAAUUCGAAGCAGCAAGCUGGGGUUCGACUCCCCGCACCUGAA